GAUGAACGCUGGCGGCGUGCCUAAUACAUGCAAGUCGAGCGAACAGACGAGGAGCUUGCUCCUCUGACGUUAGCGGCGGACGGGUGAGUAACACGUGGAUAACCUACCUAUAAGACUGGGAUAACUUCGGGAAACCGGAGCUAAUACCGGAUAAUAUAUUGAACCGUAUGGUUCAAUAGUGAAAGACGGUUUUGCUGUCACUUAUAGAUGGAUCCGCGCCGCAUUAGCUAGUUGGUAAGGUAACGGCUUACCAAGGCGACGAUGCGUAGCCGACCUGAGAGGGUGAGCGGCCACACUGGAACUGAGACACGGUCCAGACUACUACGGGAGGCAGCAGUAGGGAAUCUUCCGCAAUGGGCGAAAGCCUGACGGAGCAACCCCGCGUGAGUGAUGAAGGUCUUCGGAUCGUAAAACUCUGUUAUGAGGGAAGAACAAAUGUGUAAGGAACUAUGCACGUCUUGACGGUACCUAAUCAGAAAGCCACGGCUAACUACGUG
rnacentral:rRNA from 1 species